rnacentral:snoRNA from 1 species
AAGACUAUACUUUCAGGGAUCAUUUCUAUAGUUCGUUACUAGAGAAGUUUCUCUGAACGUGUAGAGCACCGGAAACCACGAGGAGGAGGUGGCAGCGUUCUCUCCUGAGCGUGAAGCCGGCUCUUGGUGUUGCUUCACUGCAAUUGCCAUUUGCCAUUGGUGAUCGUUCUUCUUUCUCUUUAUGGGAGAGUAAGAGGGAGAGAAUGCAGUCUGAGUGGU